AUACUUACCUGGCAGUGGAAGAACCAUGAUCAAGCAGGUGGUUUUCCCAGGGUGAGACUCGUUCAUUGCACUUGGAACUUGUUGACCUCUGCGAUUUCCCCAAAUGUGGGAAACUCGACUGCAUAAUUUGUGAUAGUGGGGGACUGCGUGCGCGCUCUCCCCUG
ensembl:snRNA U1 U1 spliceosomal RNA